UCAAGCUACAAAGGGCUCACGGUGGAUACCUUGGCACACAGAGGCGAUGAAGGACGUGGUUACCUGCGAUAAGUCUCGGGGAGCUGGAAACACGCUUUGAUCCGGGAAUUUCCGAAUGGGGCAACCCCUAGAACGGCUACCUGAAUCCAUAGGGUAGCGCGAGCCAACCCAGCGAACUGAAACAUCUUAGUAGCUGGAGGAAAGGAAAGUAAAAACGACUCCCUAAGUAGCGGCGAGCGAACGGGGAAGAGCCUAAACCGAUGCUUUCGAGCAUCGGGGUUGUGGGACAGCAACGUGUAUCAGGGAAGUUAGAAGAAGCGUUUGAAUGGCGCGCCACAGAGGGUGAAAGCCCCGUAUUCGAAAACGGAACUGAGCUAGCUGUAUCCCGAGUAGCACGGAGCACGUGAAAUUCCGUGUGAAUCCGCGAGGACCACCUCGUAAGGCUAAGUACUCCUGUGUGACCGAUAGCGCAACAGUACCGCGAGGGAAAGGUGAAAAGAACCCCGGGAGGGGAGUGAAAUAGAACAUGAAACCGUGAGCUUACAAGCAAUGGGAGUCCGACUGAUCGGAUGACCGUGUGCCUGUUGAAGAAUGAGCCGGCGACUUAUAGGCACUGGCAGGUUAAACCGGGAAUGGUGGAGCCAUAGCGAAAGCGAGUCUGAAUAGGGCGAUCGUCAGUGUUUAUAGACCCGAACCCGGGUGAUCUAACCAUGGCCAGGAUGAAGCUUGGGUGAUACCAAGUGGAGGUCCGAACCGACUGAUGUUGAAAAAUCAGCGGAUGAGCUGUGGUUAGGGGUGAAAUGCCAAUCGAACCCGGAGCUAGCUGGUUCUCCCCGAAAUACGUUGAGGCGUAGCGUCUAGUGCUCCAGCAGGGGGGUAAAGCCACCGUUUCGGUGCGGGCUGCGAGAGCGGUACCAAAUCGAGACGAACUCUGAAUACCCUGUGUGUAACUAGGCAGUCAGACUGUGGGGGAUAAGCUCCAUGGUCGAAAGGGAAACAGCCCAGACCGCCAGCUAAGGUCCCCAAAUCAACGCUAAGUGAUAAAGGAGGUGGGAUUGCCCAGACAACCAGGAGGUUUGCCUAGAAGCAGCCAUCCUCAAAGGAGUGCGUAAUAGCUCACUGGUCGAGCGAUCCUGCGCCGAAAAUGAACGGGGCUAAGCGUUGUACCGAAGCUGCGGAUUAAACUUGUUUAAUGGUAGGGGAGCGUUCCAUGUGGGGUGAAGCGUUAGCGUAAGCGGGCGUGGACUGCAUGGAAGUGAGAAUGUCGGCUUGAGUAGCGAAAACAUGGGUGAGAAUCCCAUGCCCCGAAACCCUAAGGGUUCCUCCGGCAGGCUCGUCCGCGGAGGGUUAGUCAGGACCUAAGGCGAGGCCGAAAGGCGUAGUCGAUGGACAACAGGUCAACAUUCCUGUACCGAUGAUGUUUUGGGAAGGGGGACGGAGAAGGCUAGCCAAGCCAGAUGUUGGUUACUGGUCCAAGCGUUCGAGGCGUUGAGAACCGGCGAAAACGGUUUGAGCUGAGGCGUGAGUGCGAGCUGCUACGGCAGCGAAGUUGGUGACGUCAAGCUUCCAAGAAAAGCCCUAUACCCGUUAAGGCAUCAUUGCCUGUACCCGAAACCGACACAGGUGGGGUGGUAGAGAAUACCGAGGGGCGCGAGGUAACUCUCUCUAAGGAACUCGGCAAAAUGACCCCGUAACUUCGGGAGAAGGGGUGCCACCGCAAGGUGGUCGCAGUGAAUAGGCCCAGGCGACUGUUUACCAAAAACACAGGUCUCCGCUAAGUCGCAAGACGAUGUAUGGGGGCUGACGCCUGCCCAGUGCCGGAAGGUUAAGGAAGCUGGUCAGCGUAAGCGAAGCUAGCGACUGAAGCCCCGGUGAACGGCGGCCGUAACUAUAACGGUCCUAAGGUAGCGAAAUUCCUUGUCGGGUAAG
rnacentral:rRNA from 1 species